GCAUCCGGCUGGAGCUCAGCCGCGCUUGUCCGGUGCUAGGUCACCCUGCCAAACACCCGAGGCCCCAAAGAUGGUGCAAAGUGAACUUCAGCUACAGCCCAGAGCAGGCGGACGAGCUGAAGCUGCAAGCUGGGGAGAUCGUGGAAAUGAUAAAGGAGGCCUUGGUAAUCCAGACAUGCCUUCAGUCAGCCCUGGUCCCCAGCAGCCUCCCAAGACCACAGAGGAUAAGGGCUGGUGGGAAGGAGAGUGUCAAGGACGAAGAGGAGUUUUUCCAGACAACUUCGUACUCCCACCACCCCCCAUUAGGAUGCUCAACCUUUACUUCUUUUCUGCAUAGAUCAAGAAGCUGGUCCCACGGAAAGUGGUAUCUCGGGAAUCAGGU
rnacentral:sRNA from 1 species